UUCGGUCUUUGGAGCGGGGUGGAACUACACCUUCCCUUUCCGAACAGGAACGUAAAACGCCCUAGCGCCCACAAUACUUGUCCGGAAACGGACCGGGAAGAUAGGUCAAGGCCGAGA
rnacentral:rRNA from 1 species